rnacentral:rRNA from 1 species
UACAGAGGGUGCAAGCGUUAAUCGAAAUUACUGGGCGUAAAGGGUGCGUAGGUGGUUUGAUAAGUUAGAUGUGAAAGUCCUGGGCUCAACCUGGGGAUUGCGUCUGAUACUGUCAGGCUAGAGUUCUGUAGAGGAAGGUGGAAUUUCCGGAGUAGCGGUGAAAUGCGUAGAUAUCGGAAGGAACAUCGGUGGCGAAGGCGGCCUUCUGGACAGGAACUGACACUGAGGCACGGAAAGCGUGGGGAGCCAAACAGG